rnacentral:lncRNA from 1 species
GGCAGCGGGGUGCGGCGGAGAGCGCCCCCCACCAGCCCGCGCGCGGUCCUCGGAGCGCGCAGAUGGAGAAACGACCGAGCCGGGCGGUGGAGACGGCAGGGGCUCGGCGGGGGCGCGCGUCCGGCAGGGGCCGCCUUCCCGGAGUUCCUGAGAUGCGGGCGGUGGAGAAGCGGCGGCGAGCUCAGACCUGUCACAUCUCUCCGGACCGUUAAGAAUUUACCGAAAAAAAGAAAGAUGGUGUUUAAAUGUGAAGGGCCGAAUGGUGCUCAGAGGAAAUAGCGGAGAGCACAGGAUGCAGUGGAACAGGAAGCCCUUGGGGUUUUGUGCCUUCGGAGUUCUUUGCACAGAUACGGCUUUGGACAUUGUGUGGGUGAGAUCAACACAAAACUGUACUGGAAAAUGUCCCCUAUGGGUCACACCAUUCAUAAUAUCUGGAGGGACUCAUGCAUUACAACUCCAUAAGCCAUGUAUAAAAAUGCAGAGAAAAAUCACGAAGUGGAAAGGCAAACAAUUUUAGUUCUGAUGUUAUCCUACUCACAAAAGGCAAUGAAAGCAAUAUUCAGACAACUGAGGUAUUAGGAAGAUCAUCAAAUUGCACCAUCAUGAAAUUAGAAGUGCUGAGGACUCUCUAGAAAGACCUGGAAUUAGAAGUUUUGAAUGAGAAAAAAAAAUAGAUAUGAAAUUGCAGUAGGAGUUGCCCAAUGAUAAUCUCUAAAUUUCAAAACAGGUCAAGAGCUAGGUGGAUUCUCAUGAAGAGGAUUUCUUCUGCAGAGGUUGUGCUGUGAGUUCAAAGAGGAAGGAGAAAAAUACAGAGCCUUGCUACUCCAAGCACAGAGAAAGAGAACUGAGGAGAAUCCUAGAGUGCCCAGUCCAGGACUUCAAGUUUGAGGAAGGCUGCAAAAUCCUCAGAAACCUCAGGUCAAGGAGCCAGCUGAAGUGUACCAUAGCAGCAGAGGACAUUUUAAGGAUUUGCCAUCCCUGGAAGGCAUGAGGCCACCCUACAAGAAAAGCAUCCAGGUGACACAUAGGAUGAGAGCAGAGGAGACACAAAGGUGGCAAAUGAACUGCAAAGUCAGUGUUGGAAGACAUCAGUUAAAUGUUUAUGUAAUUCUUGUACUGACUGCAAACUACUUGUCCUUCUGGGUACUUACUGGCACAUCCAGCAUUGCCAUUUAUUUAUAUAGUUGUUGGUCUCUUUGUCAGUAUUUUUGCCUUUCCAUCCUGGAUAUCCUUCCCAAACACUGCUAUAUGGUACUAUACUUAAUAUCAUCUAGAAUUGGCAGACCAUAGAUGGGAUUCCAUUUGACCAUUCAAGAGCUCCGCACCACUUCUAGUUGGGGCGAGAAACCAUAAGCACAGAGGAAAGGCAAUGCUCUUUGUCUCUGGAAUGCUUUUUCACAACCAAGAAAACACAUUUUUGUCUCAAGCUUCGUUAUUCCUGAGAAAGGCAGCAUAAUACAGCUGCAUUCAGAAAGAUUUGAUGUGAUUUCAUGUUUGUAUAAAUAACACUCUGGCUUCAUUUCACCUGUGUUUUCUAGAAAUCUGCAUUCUCCUCUCUUAGAUUUGGGAAUGAAACCUUUAUAACACUCUAUGGGAAAAAACAAACAGAUAAUGUUCUACAGUUCUUCACUGGUUUACGGUAUGCCUAUACCAGGGGGACUCCCUUCUAAAUUGUUCAGAGGACAUACACCCUUGGCAGCAGUGCAAAGACCGGUGGCCCCUAUAGCUGAUGUAUCCACCAUGCCUCUGUCUUCUCAAUCUGUCUAAUAGAAGGUUAAGGUAUGUGCUUUGGGGUUCCUUUUCCCAUUGUACAUAUCUCCUAAGGAUUGUUGGUCUCCAAAGUUUUCAGGUACUCUACAAUCUUAUCUUUUAUUUUGUGUAUCAUGGCCAGAAAUUUUUUCAUGACACAGGUUAGUCACCAAGGAGAAUGAGCAGAGAUUUUGGAGUCAGCCAGACAUGAAUCUGACUUUCAAGAGGUUGUCAUGCAGUUGAAAAAUGUCCACUGUGAUACACUCAGUGCUGUAGUUGGUAGAGACAGGCAUGUUUGUUGAGUGUAGUGGUGCAUCUCUGUGGGAGACAGGCAGGAGGAUCACAGUGUCAGCCCAGCUUGGGUAACUGUUCAAGACCCUGUCUCAAAAUUUAAAAUAGGGUGAGGCUAUUGUUCAGUGUGAAAGUUCUCAUUCUGUAGUACUGGAGGUAAGUAAGACAUCUUAGAGACAGUAGCAAGUUGUAUUUAAUGAAAAUGCACUUUCCCUCUGUGAAGCAUUAUUAUAAUUUGGGUAUAAUUUGAGUAUCUCCCCAAAGCCUACAGCGAAGGGUUUGAUUCCCAGAGUGAUGUACUAUGAAGUACUGUGGACCUUUAAGAAGUGGGGCCUUAUGGAAAGCCCUUAAGUCAUUGGGGGAGUGGCUUCAAAGGGGAUUGAGAGACGUUUGUCUCUGGAUCUCUUUCUGUUCCUAGCUUUAGGAGUGACUACUGGCUCCAACAAACAUCCCUGUUUUCGCCAUCCAGAAUCCUCCCCAGAGGUCUAAGCCAAUAAGGCUGCCUGAUCUCAGAUUUAAAUCUCUAAAGCUGUGAUGAAAACAAACAAUCUCUCUCUAUUAAGUUAGUUGCCUUGGGUAUUUACAUUGUAAUAGCUCAAAGCUAACAAAAGUAAGUGUUAUGUAAGGAGCCUUCCUUUCCCAAAGAGUUUUGUAAGAGGUGUUCUUAGGAGUUGGGCACCUCUUUGCUGCUCUUAACAAGCUUUAGGGACAAAAAAAGACACAGUGUAAAAGCACUGACUUUAGAUCCACAGGGGAUAAGUGCACCUAUAGUCCAUAACUUGUGUGCCACCCACCACCACCACCAUGAUAGCCUUCGUCAAGAAGUAGUAAUUGUUACUAUCUCAAAGCAGAUCUGAUCCCUCUGUUAUCGCUAAGAAAGUGUGUUUCAGAAAAAAAACCCUGCUCAUUGCUUUUAAAUUGAUAAAGAAGAAAGGAAAACACAUGCAAAUUCACUUAGAAGGAACAUCCACUGAAACCAUAAAAGCCAACAAUGCCCACCACUUGUGCAAUAGAUACUCCAGAGACUUCAGAAGGCUUAGAAAAUCACCGGACCUGUUCUUUGCACUGUUUUUUGAGACUCAUGCAAUUUUGGUGGAAAAUGAGAUUUAUUUAUACAAAAAGAGAAUGAAGGCUCAAAUAUGUAUUUAUGUUGUAUGUAAUUGUGUCAGUAUGUAGCUUGCAACCAGAGAGCAAAUAGUAAAGGGGAAUAAAAGAUUGACAAGAACUGAUUGGUGGUGAAAUUAUCAACUGACUCCAGUUUUCUUAGGUGUUAUCUGAGUAGCUUAAAAGCUAUAGUUUGAUUUAAUAUCACUAAUGUCAAAGACAAACAAGCAAGAAAAUUGAUUUUAGCCAAGAAUAGUGAUAUAGAACUCUAAUCCCAGCACUCUGGAGGCUGAGGCAUGAGGACUGCUGUGAAUUGGAGGCCAGGAUUACAUAGUGAAUUCAAGGUAAGCCUCCUAAACUACAUGGCAGGAGCUCAUCUCAAAAAAAAAAAAAAAAAAAAAAGAAAGAAAGGAAAAGAAAAUUGAUUUUAUUCAGGCUAUUACAAUAAAAUGAUGUCCCCAAAUGUCUCAGCAUCAUGGUUGAUCUUUUGACUCUCAUAGGGAGGAACUUGGGUGAUUUAUUCUUGAGGUUGCUUGGCAGUCAGGUGAAGUCUCAGGAAGUUAGCUGAAAAGGAAAUGUUCCUCUCUGUUUCUGCUAGUUUCAGGGGCAAGGACAGUUCUAAUCUUAGAUCAUCAUUUAUGACAGAAAGUUGAGGAACUUGGAGUCUGGCUUUUUCAGUUAGGUCAAGAAAAAAAAGGUCUGAGUUUAUCUUUGUCAUUAGUGCACAAGAGAGUCACUCUGAAAACAAAAAUUGGGGGAGUAGAUUUGUUCAGCAUCAUUUUCUUUUCCUAGGACCUUGACACAUAAUUUUAUGGUUCUGUUUUGAGCAUUACAGGAAUUUGUGUUAAUAGUUAUUAGUAAAAAUAAGGAUGUUAAUAUCCCUAUAUAUUUAUGCUUCCUUUUUCCUUAUGUGGGAAAUAAAAAAUUAUCCCAAAUCUUUAGUACCUAUGAAAAAACAUAAAAGAACAUAAGAAUUCCACAGGGAACUAGAUAAAAAAUAUAUCUGAAUUUGACAAAACAUUCAGCAAACUGAUAUCUUAAAAGUUACGGAUAUUUUAGAAUUUAGAAGCUACAAAACUAUAUCUCAGUAAAUCCCUUAAAACCAUUAAUAUAACCCUACAUUACUUAUAAAAAACAAAUUGUGUCAAGGUUUUUGUUGUUUUUCUUUAGAGCUUUUCUAACAUUUUUUAUUGUUUAUAUACGAUUAUUUUUAACAACCUUCUGUCUUGAAUAUAGAAUUUUUAGAAUAUUUGACUAGUAUAUUUAACCAAUCAUUGUGUUUAUACAUGCUUGUGUGAGGGGUGUGUGUGUAUAUGUGUGUGUAUGUGUGUGUGUGUAUCUUUGUAUUACCUGUGGAACAAGGAAAAAUAGGAAUUAAAUUAUGUAUAUGAAUUGGAGGAAACAAGACACUGCACAGUAAUGAUUAGAUUCCAAACAACUGAAAGACAGAUGCCAGAAACAAAACUCUGCAGGCUUAUUUCUCCAAAAGAAUUGGAUAGAGUUGGAAAGUACAAAAUUGAUCCCCUCAGAGAGCAGUCAGGCCCGCUCGAUCCCACUGUU